CCUGGAGAUCGUCAAAACUUUACUAAGGAACAUCAUCCCUCAGUAUGGACUGCCUGGCACCAUUCAAAGUAAUAAUGCACCUGCCUUUGACACAUGGAUAACAAACAACUGGGGAUCAAAGGGAGACUGCAUACAGCCUGGAAGCCUCUGUCAUCAGAUAAAGUAAAAAAAUUAAUCAUAUCUGUAGGGAUGUAAUAAAUAUUGUCUGAAUUUGACUUUGGAAAAUGACAUGACCUGCAACACUACCUCCUCUGUGUCCUAUGCAGAGGCUCAUUUAAAGUUACCAGUGGGAUGGUUCCUGCUAUGCUAUAAGAUGGCCUACUCCUUUGUACCUGCAAACAGCACCAGAGGGCCCUGCAGCCUUGGGAGACUCACAGUGUUUAUGCCCCAGAAGGUCCACAUAACUCAGGAAGUAAGAAAGAAAAGGGCGGCGUUACGGGGACGCCAGUAGAAGCCAAAAGAAGAAGCCGAGAGAAAAGCAGAAAAAAAGAAGCAGAAGCCGAGAAGGCCAGAGAGCCCAGAUAGAGUGAGGAUUUGCUGGGGGGCUGGGAAGCCUGCCAUAUGCCUGGUGAACCCUAAUAAAAGACCUGCAAAAACCCACUGAGGACUCUGACUCCUCCUUUACCCGGUCUGCAUGGGAUCAGAAAACCUGCACUGGUCCAGUCCUGCCUCUACAAUUGGCGUAAGUCAGCAAGAUGAUCCAUGCAGACGGGUAUGGAGCCCUCCGAAGACCUGGAGGGACUAAGGAGUAACAGUGUUUGCCUGUGACGACGCUGGAGGCACCAUGGUGUCACAGAAGGUGGAUACGGUCCAGGAGCUGCGGGACGAGACCUCGCAUCGAGGAGACGCCCGAGAGGACCAGCCAAUGACCCCUGAGGCAGCAAGAAUCAUCGGCAAAGAGAGGACCAAGAUUUGGAGCUCGCCAGUGCUGAUUCAGGGAGAGGUCAAGAGACUUGGACUGAUGGACUGACAAUCCCACCAGAAGGCGGAGGACCUUGCAGGUUGAUAUGUUUUGGGACCCUGGGGGUGGAACAGUUUUGUUUGUAAACCCCAGGAGAUGGGAAUCUGGGGGUGGCCAGUGGCCCUUGAUGGCCAAAAGCAGCCUGUGUAUGCCCAGCAGCCAGGCGGAGGAGAAAAGCCAACUGAGAAGCAAAAGCUGGUGCUGAUGCUAAGUUGAGAAGCCCUGAGUGGCUGUUAAGCAGCCUGGGUAUGCUGAAGACCUGUGAGUCUCGUAAAAUCACCUGUGGGUGAUGCCCUGCUCAUUCUUGAGUGAGGGUGAGGAGCUGAGGAACCCGUCCUUGGGGGACGGAUGGGGAACAUGGCUUGGGAUAGAGCCCAAGCCAAAUGUAGAAUUUGGAUCCCCGACCCAUGUGCUUGUGCAGUGGGUUGGCCUGAGUGCAGGGGUAUGUGAGUCGCAUGGGUGGCUAUGAAGGCCGAGUGUUGGAGCGACUGCAGACAGAAACCCUGAGGGUUGGCGAUUACCCUCAACAGAAUAGAAUCGCCAGUCCCAGAGCUAGUGCAUCCUGGGGGUGGAUGCGGUGUGUGGCUUGUAGCCGAGACUACAGCCAGAGAAGGCCAGGAAGCCUGACGGCUCCUGGUGUGUUAUAGUAGAUGCCGUGAGUGAUUCCCCUCCCUCGUGUGAGCAGUGCCUUCGGCAGCAGAUUUGGUGGCUCAUCUGCUGGUACCAAUAAUUGUCUUUUGGACUUAUUUGUCCUGGACUUAUUUGUGUUCUGUUGUAUUGUUAUUGUGAUGUAUUUGCUUCUGUGGGCCAUGGAUGCAUUGUUUGUUUGCUUAGAAAAUUGUAUAUAUAUGUAGACUAUAUGGCAGAAAACCCUGAGGGGGUGGACUGUAGGGUAAAGAAAAUGUCAGGCUUUUCUGCCCACCAUCAGGAUAGAUGAUGGAUCCUUGUCCUGAAUGCAUGCCUGAUGGCUGGCACCUGGAAUAGGGUGUGGGCAUAGGUAGAUGGGAUUCAGCUGAGCUAAGACUGCUUUUUUUUUUAAUAUAACAAUAUAUUUUAUUUAGCUCAUGUAUCCAAAACAUUAUCAUUUCCAUGAGUAAUAAGCAUACAAUUUAUUAAUAGCAUAUUUUCCAAGACCUUUGAAAUCUGAUGAGAAUUUAACACUUACAGACUUACAGCUGAUCUCAUUUUUUUUUGCAUAGAAGAACUGGGGUACAGGCCAGAGGUGCAUGGGGGUAAGAGGAUUCACCAGAGACAGAGCUAAGACUGCUUUCAAGGGUGGCGUUGCGGGGACGCCUGUAGAAGCCAAAAGAAGAAGCCAAGAGAGAAGCAGAGAAGAAGCAGAAAAGAAGCAGAAACAGAGAAGGCCAGAGAGCCCAGAUAGAGUGAGG